UUUGCUUGUGUGUAAGGAGAUACAUCUAUAUAUCUAUAUAUAAGUAUAUAUAUGCAUAUAUGAAACAGAAUUUAUUAGUUACGAUAUUCUUUCUGUCUUUAAUUUGUUUACUUGGAAUGAUGAGUUUCUCUUUUCAUAUCCUUGCUUUGUAUUUCAUCUUGUCUUUGAGUUCUUACUUAUAGAAUUCAUAUUUUUAUUGAGUUGUUUUAUAGAGAAACCCUUCUAGAGAAUUCUCUUCUCUUCUUUCAGUUAUAUUUUCUUUGACACUGGGUUCUGUAUCUUUAUUUCUAAUCUUGCUUGUUUCUUUCUCCUCUUUUUAAAAAAUAUAUUUUCAUGACACAUACAGUACGGUUUCAUCUUCUUAAUACUUAGCGUAGGCGGCUCGAUCUAGACCUUCAAUUAAUUGGAUAUGGGUGACUCUCCUCAGAUCUUUUCUCAUUUUUAGGUCAGACCUGUCUGUCUUAACCUCUGAGUGGCAGCUUGCGAGGGUAGUUCUUGUGCUCUGUCUGCUUUUUUUGUAGCCCGAAGCUAUGGCAUGGAAGGGGAGAGCCCAGCUGCAAUUGCCUACAGGCUUUCUCGGAGAGACUGAACUCUAAGGUCUUUCUGAGGUUUUGUUGAGUAUCUUGCAACAGACUUUGCUUCACCGUAACGGGUUGGAUGAUGAACAGAAGGUGAUGGAGGGGUAAUUCUAUUUCUAUUGGAAGGAAAAUUUCCCUGGGGUGUAUGUUUCUGUUAGAGAGAGUCAAAGCUGGCUAUUCUAUCCCCCAUUUUACCUGCCUUCCCCCAACAGCUGGAAAAUAGCACUUUGGAAGAUAGGUCUCGCACCAAUGGUCAAGAUGGAUUGAAAUGGGAGAGACUGAAUUCAGGCAGAGCAAAGAGGCAACUCUCAUGGUAAUACUGGCCCAGGAGAGACCCAGCCCAGCAAGCUUGCCAGGACACACCCCACCCGCACUCCCAAUUACCAUGUCUGCUUGACUCAUCAACUCCUCUAACACCGGGCUGGGCUCAGGACGAGGAACCUGCUCCUGCUCUGUUUGUCUACCCCAGUUUGUCCUUCUUUUUACUGCUGCUCUCUUAAGGUAAAGUAAAAGUAUCUGUCAGGGAUGAAGCUGACUGUGUAGUGGGAUAGAUGUGGCUUCAGGAGAGCAACUUCUAAGCCCCCAUUGACUGUGGUAUCCUGAUCUGUUGGGGAGCUUGCCUGAUCCUGGAUACAACCUGCUGAGUCUCAUGGUGUGCAGCAAAGAAUCAACUUAGCAAGCCUGAACUUCUGUCCUUGAAAAGGACUGCUUGCUAGGUUGGCCCUUGGGUAGCAUCUGGGAACUUAGAUUUAUAGAGUGUUCCCACCAUUAAGGGACAAGAGUGGUUCACUGUGCCUAAGCUGUUUGUACAAACAGUAUGGUUUAUGCUGAGCACGUGAUUUCCUUCUGGAAGUCUGGAAUUUUGAUACAUGCCAAGCAGAGACUGUCUACAUGACCAGCCCCUUCUAAAAGA
rnacentral:lncRNA from 1 species